rnacentral:rRNA from 1 species
UACAGGGGGGGCGAAGCGUUGUUCGGAAUUACUGGGGCGGUAAAGGGCUCGUAGGCGGCCAACUAAGUCCGAACGUGGAAAUCCCAAAGCUUAACUUUAGGAACUGCGUCCGGAUACUGGAUGGCUUGAAUUCGGGAGAGGGAUGCAGAAGUUCCAGGUGUAGCGGUGAAAUGACGUAGAUAUCUGGAGGAACACCGGUGGCGAAGGCGGCAUCCUGGACCGACACCUGACGCUGAGGCGCGGAAAGCUAAGGGUACGCAAACGGGGAUUAAGAAACCCCGAGUAACGUCCGAG